UUUUAUGAGCCAGUCAUUUAAAGAUUUUACAGAUAAUUCUUUCUUUUAAUUUUUUUUUUUUUUACUAAAAUUGAAAACGUGAAUGUUUUACAAGCAUUCUUGCUUGUAAUAUUCCUUAGGCAGCCGAGGUCCUCUCUUUCAACUUUAAAUCAAAACGUGCAAAAAAGAGUCAAGCAUUGAAGCAGCAGUGGCUUUUGGAGAAGAUUAACUGAACAUAAGAAUGGUGGUGGAUGACCAGGCGAGAUGAUGUUACAUUGGACUGAUGUGGAAUGUCCCUAAAUCACUUCUGAGGGUUUUGAGCUGUUUGGGAGCAACUUAUUUUAAAGGCAAAGAGGAGAAUAAAUGGUUUCCGUCUUGGUUCAGAAUACAGAAGGGAUCACCUGGUGUCCUACUUUCCAUUUUCAUUCUGCUACUGUUAUAUACCUAAAAGGAUUGAAUCUGGAAUAAGCAAGGGCCUACUCCCUUUGGGACUGACCAUCCUAAUGAUCCACAGUAUUGUUUCCAGUGGGUCUGCAAAGUUCUUGUCUUUUGAUAUAUAAAUAUACAUAAAGUAGGUUAUGGAUAUUAACUCCAAUAUCCUUCUAUUUUUAUCCUGUUGUUCGUGUCUCUCUCUCUUUUUCUCUGGCCUGCCUUUUGUUUUAUUUUUACCAUUUAAUCGUUUUUUCUUGUUUGCUGAUAUCUAGCCAGGGAAGUCUGGAAGAUAUGGUUAAACACAACUGUGCAAUUGAUUGUUAAAUGCCCACCACGGGCACCCCUGUUGCUAGUUCUGUUGAGUGACACACCUGCUUGUUGUGAUCUGGAAAUUGGGUUUGCCUGAAAGUGUGCGAGUACAGAUGAAACCAGAAAUUAUACACAAUAUUUUUUUCCAAUAAUACUAACAUGUGCGCAUGUAGGGGUGCCCUGUAAAAUGAUGAAAGCUGUAAGUUGGCAACCAAUAAAAGCCCUAUCUGUUA